UGUCAUGGGAUGGGAAUCGAACCCACAGUGCUCCGCUUACCGGGCAGAUUUCAUGUCCACUAGGCUACCCUGGAC
rnacentral:tRNA from 1 species